rnacentral:rRNA from 1 species
AUGCCGUCAUGGAGGAUCCGUUCGAGCUCCACCUCAACUCUGGCCACCUCAACUCCGGUCUCCGCUCCACCUCAACUCCGGCCCUACCCCAGCGCGGCCCGGAUCGCCGACUCCUCCUGCUUCCCCCAGUACACCGCCUCCCUCAAGUGUCUGGAGACCAACCAGGACAAGAGCAAGUGCCGGCAGCAGUUCGACAACUACAAGGAGUGCAAGAAGAGAGAGAGAGAUAGCACAAGAGAGAGAUAG